GAUGAACGCUAGCUACAGGCUUAACACAUGCAAGUCGAGGGGAAACGGCAUCGAAAGCUUGCUUUUGAUGGGCGUCGACCGGCGCACGGGUGAGUAACGCGUAUCCAACCUGCCCAUCACUUGGGAAUAACCUUGCGAAAGUAAGACUAAUGCCCAAUGACAUCCCACGAAGGCAUCCGAAUGGGAUUAAAGAUUUAUCGGUGAUGGAUGGGGAUGCGUCUGAUUAGCUUGUUGGCGGGGUGACGGCCCACCAAGGCAACGAUCAGUAGGGGUUCUGAGAGGAAGGGCCCCCACAUUGGAACUGAGACACGGUCCAAACUCCUACGGGAGGCAGCAGUGAGGAAUAUUGAUCAAUGGGCGAGAGCCUGAACCAGCCAAGUAGCGUGCAGGAUGACGGCCCUAUGGGUUGUAAACUGCUUUUAUAAGGGAAUAAAGUGGGUCACGUGUGACUUUUUGCAUGUACCUUAUGAAUAAGGACCGGCUAAUUCCGUG
rnacentral:rRNA from 1 species